rnacentral:rRNA from 1 species
UAGGGAAUUUUCGUCAAUGGGCGCAAGCCUGAACGAGCAAUGCCGCGUGAACGAAGGAAGGUCUUCGGAUCGUAAAGUUCUGUUGAAGGGGAAAAAGAGCGGAGAGAGGAAAUGCUUUCUGAUUGAUAUUACCCUUCGAGGAAGUCACGGCUAACUACGUGCC